CCUUGUUUGAAACCCCCUUGAGCCUAUUCUCCCUUUUUUGUUUAAAACUCAUUACAAGCCGAGAAGUGAAAAACAAUGUUAUCACCCUAUUCAAAGGGUUGAAAGAGUCUUUUCAUCCCUUGUUUGAAACCCCCUUGAGCCUAUUCUCCCUUUUUUGUUUAAAACUCAUUACAAGCCGAGAAGUGAAAAACAAUGUUAUCACCCUAUUCAAAGGGUUGAAAGAGUCUUGUUUGGAGUUAUGUGGGGUUGAAUAAUUAUGUUUGUAAUAUUUCAGAAGUUGGCAGAAAAAUAAAAAAAAUAGAAAAAGAAAAUAGAAAAGAA
rnacentral:lncRNA from 1 species